GGCUGGAUCACGGGGGUGGGGCCUGACGGGAGGUGGCUGGAUCACGGGGGUGGACUUCUCAUGUUUUAGUACCAUCCCCUUGGUGCUUCCUCGUGAUAGCAAAGGGGCGAUGGAUCCUGCUUCUCGGGUCUGUAUGAGAUGAGAUGAAAUGACAAUUCCUAAUAUGGAUGAGGAAGUGGAGCAACAGAGACUCCCAGGCUGCCAGUGGAGCUGCUGUGGAGAAUGGUUUGGCAAUAUUUAAUGCAUGCCCCAGAAAAUCAGUAGUCCCAUUUCCAGGUAGGAUCCCAGAUAAUUUCUUGCAAACAUGUACAAAAAACUUGUGCAAUAAUGUUUGUGGUUAUGUAACUGGAUGUUGAAAUGAGCGUUCAGCCGAGGAGCCAAGAUCCAAUAGAUGUGUCUUCCAGAGGCACUGUUAGACCAUGAGCAGCAGUUACAAAAGAGGUUCCCGAGACACCUCCUGGGCAUCCUCAUCCACGAUAAGAGUACUAAAGCGUUGGGAAUUAGA
rnacentral:lncRNA from 10 species